rnacentral:SRP_RNA from 1 species
GCCGGGCAAAGUGGCGGGCGCCUGUAGUCCCAGCUACUCGGGAGGCUGAGGCAGGAGAAUCGCUUGAACUUGAAAGGCGGAGGUUUCAGUGAGCCAAGAUCACACCAUUGCACUCCAGCUGGACGACAAGAGCGAAACUCCAUUCAAAAAAAAAGAACAUCCAGGAUUUAGGAAUCACAUUAAACNNNNNNNNNNGUUUAAUGUGAUUCCUAAAUCCUGGAUGUUCUUUUUUUUUGAAUGGAGUUUCGCUCUUGUCGUCCAGCUGGAGUGCAAUGGUGUGAUCUUGGCUCACUGAAACCUCCGCCUUUCAAGUUCAAGCGAUUCUCCU